AUCAAAAGACGUUUCUUCACAUCUCCAGACGCCAGGGAAAAAAGGAGAAGAAAAGAGGGAGAGAAGAAAAGAGCCAGAAGGGGGCAUACUGCUCUCUCUUUACUCUGGUGUUUUGGUGAAUGAGGACUUUUCACAAUACCCUCUCCUUUCUCUUUUUUUUCUUUUUUCAUUCUUUCACUGGCAAAAAAAGAGAGAAAGAAAUAGCAUUUCCCAACGCGUUUGCGCCAAAUUGUUCUUGCCAUAUCAAAAACAAUUAUCCUCAGGUUAAGAAUGUGCCUGCAGAAUUACAACCGAUCCAGGGGGAGAAAGCAGUCUUCACAAAUUUGACUGGCUUCCAGGCAGCCAAGACCCCCUCGAAGUGGUAAUGAAAAGUGUAACUUUAGCCUCCCAGCUGUACGUCUCAAUCCAUAAUCCUUCCCCAAAAACCUCACCGUAGAGCCGCCUACCACUCCCAUGGCGUUCCCAGCCUUUGCCGGGCUGGGCCUGCACUGAUUUAUGUGGCAGUCCUGAGUCAUACUCUCAACCUGAAAAGGAUUUGCUCUCCUAUAUUUACAGGGGUAGUCAGGCCGGCUCUCUUGAAAUACAGAAAGCCCUGUCUCCGGGCCUCAGUCCCCACGGUUUUUUCCCCUUCUCUGCCUCAGUAACAAGGACAUCUGGGACCUUACAAGAAUCAGCCGAGUCUCCAGUGUUUUUAUGAUGGAGUCUUUCUCCAGAGGAGAGGUCAGAGUCCAUGCACUCGCUCCUUGCAGCCACAUGGCCACGUUGUGGUAUGCAGAUACCCAGACACAGCUCCACUACCACAGUGGCUCAGACCACCUCCGAGGUUUCAUUAUCAUCGCUGGGACUCACUAAUGGCUUGACGGCUUCACUGAGCGGGCAGCUGGAGACGAGAAUCCAGGGAAGACGGAAAAGAAGAAGAAGCGAAGGGAGGAGAAUAGGGGCACAAGGAAAAUAGGGGGGAUGAGGGGAACGAGUCGUGGAGGAGAAAGGGGUUAACAUGAGGGACAAUACGAUGACGUCCAACUGCAUCCUUGAAAAUCAGCAGAGACUGAAGGAGGAUGAAGCAACAGGGCAAAAGUAAUGUCAAAGAGCCGGUCUGGAGAUCCAACAGAGUGCUCUCUGCAUGGCUGGGUGACCAUGCCUGAAAAAUGUUAGAAGUGUAUAAAUCCACCUCCCAUACAUCCACACCUCCACCUUGUAUGUUUGCAACAGCUAACCUCACAACAUGCAGACGGACCGGGGGAGGGAAUUCAGCUUCACUUUUUCCUUUCCAGACAAAUGACACCCUGACAGUUGGAAAAAUGUUGGGGUCCCUGAACAGAUUUCUCAGUUAUAAAAAUAAAAUGUGUUGGAUUAGACAAAGACAGACAUUUUAUAUUCUACUUUUGAACCCCAACGAGAGCACUGACAAAUGCCACCCCACCCCCACUCCGUCUGUGCCAUAAUUGUUGUUUUUUUUUUUCUUUCUCUCCCUCCAGAAAUGUCAUAUAGUUAAGAGGUGAUAAAUCUAUAUGGCAUAAACAGACACUGAUUUCUCCCAAGUGUAUGUAUAGCAUAUAGGCUGACAGAUUGAGAUGGUGUUUGUCUUUGCAUCAUGCUAAAUUGGCAUGAAAGCUUUAGUGUUUUUUUUUUUCUAUACUAAGAGAUUUUGAGCAAAAGAUUAAAAAUCGGGAGGAAUCUUAAAAAUAGUUUAAAUUGAAGUGAAAAAACACACAGCUUAAAAAUAAGUUGAAAAUCUUGAAAUUUUAUUGCUUAAUAGCUAAUUCAUGCUGUGCUUGUUGGUGUGUAUGUUUAGUGUGAGCAACACUGUUUGCAUCAUAUGUCAAACGCAUAUUGUAUAAAUGCUAAUGAUGUCAAUUUAAAUAUCAUAAUGCAUAAUUUCCUUCCAUCUGUCAAAACAAACAUGUUAAUCGGGAUAAAAUCACCUUAAAGUUUCAAACUUUAUGCAUUUUAAAAGUUAAGCAUCACAUUAAAAAAAAUAAAAUGAUUGUCAAAUCUGCAAAUUCAAUGUGUUUAUUGUGAAUAUUCAUACUUUUAACCUAUCAAAUGAUUCAAUUUAGUCUGGAACACCUCCACAAUAUAACAUGCUCUACAGAUAAUAAUCAUAACUGUCAAUAUAUUUUACAGUUAGUAAAUGUCAGAUAUAUCAGAAAAUAAGUAAAGCAACACAAGUACCCUAAAAAUAAUCAUAGAAAACAGUUAAAUAAUCAGUAAAAGACGUUAGUUUAACAGGUAAAAUCAAACAAAAUACCAAGGCAUAUUUUUUUACACUGAAUAGAUUCUAUAAACAUGUGACUAUUUAUUUAAAUGCUUGAUUAAAUGCUCAACCUUGGCACAAAAUUCGCAUAGAGGUUGAUUUAUUUCACUCCCUCAAAAAUUACUUAACUCUUACUGAUUUCCGCCCCUGCAACAUAUGCAAAUUACAUCAUUUGCAUAUGUUUUACAAGCAUUACAAUUAUUUCCAAGCAUUUUUAAUUUACAGUGCUUUACAAGCAAUAGAAAUGCUUGUAAAAAAAAAAAGUAACAUCAAAAGUAUUCUACUGGCAUGUAAAUAUGAUUUGAUGUAUUCAAAAUUAAUGUAGAUUUUGUAAUAUUUUUAAUCUAGAAUGAAUUGCCAUUAUAUGAA